rnacentral:rRNA from 1 species
CAUGAAGCUGGAGUUGCUAGUAAUCGCGAAUCAGCAUGUCGCGGUGAAUACGUUCCCGGGCCUUGUACACACCGCCCGUCACACCAUGAGAGUUGGCAAUACCCAACGUACGUGAUCUAACCCGCAAGGGAGGAAGCGUCCUAAGGUAGGGUCAGCGAUUGGGGUGAAGUCGUAACAAGGUACC